rnacentral:rRNA from 1 species
AUUGAACGCUGGCGGCAUGCCUUACACAUGCAAGUCGAACGGCAGCGCGGACUUCGGUCUGGCGGCGAGUGGCGAACGGGUGAGUAAUACAUCGGAACGUACCCUGUUGAGGGGGAUAACUAGUCGAAAGAUUAGCUAAUACCGCAUACGACCUGAGGGUGAAAGUGGGGGAUCGCAAGGCCUCACGCAGCAGGAGCGGCCGAUGUCUGAUUAGCUAGUUGGUGGGGUAAAGGCCCACCAAGGCGACGAUCAGUAGCUGGUCUGAGAGGACGAUCAGCCACACGGGGAAUGAGACACGGCCACGACGCCUAAGGGGGGAAGAAGGGGGGAAUUUUGAGAAAGGGGGAAAACCCGGAAAAAGAAAGGCCGCGUGAGGGAGGAGGGCUUGGGGGUUGAAAAGCUUUGUUAUGGGAAAAGAACAAGGGUGGAAAAAACCCGGGGGGGAAUGACGGUACAGAAAAAAAAAGACCCGGCAAACUACGUG